AAAAUGCAAAUUGCAGUUGAACGCAAACAGCAAAAAAUGAAAAAAAUGCUGUUGUCAUUAAGUGAAAGACAAGCUUUUGAAGCUCUGUCCUUAAGGGGCUAAGCAUCAUCCAAAUGAGAUUUCAAUAGAAGAUGAAAACUGACAUGUCACAAGAUCAUUGGACUUUUCUUCAUUCAAAAAAGCAGGAUCUCUCCCCCCCUGAUAUUUUUUUUAAGCAGCAGCACAUGUUGUUUGUAAAAAGCAU